UUGUGUGACCAAAGUAGAAAUAACUUGCUUCAUGUCCUGUUUUGUGACAAAUCUGGCAUUGAACACAGAGUAUAUUACCAUUGUGAACACCACACCUCUGAACCUGCCACCACAAAACUCUCUGCCACGAGAAUUGUAUCCAUGACCUCCAGGACCAGGAUUUUUAUAAUUGAAUUCAGAUCAUUGUUAUCAUGAGUGUAGGGAUUGGUAAGUUAAGAAGAUCCUUGAGCAAGGUUGAUUGACAAAGAUUCAGUGACUUCCUUUUGGGUAUUUUCACUAUGUGCCUCUUGAGUAUGAAGCAAGGAUUCAAGUAUAUCUAGAGAGAUGAAUUGAUACCUAGAGUUAAUUGCAUCAACUACUGAAUCAAAUUCAUUUGGUAGAGCUUCAAGAACCAAUUCAAUAUGAUCAUGGUGCAGAACUGGAUCAUCAAUUGACAUCAGAGUAUCAAAUGAAAUAUGCAAUUGAUCUUGUAUCUUUGGUCAACAAACGCAAUUGCGACAUAAGUUGUUACGAACGAGUUGGCCCCAUUCCGCGUAUUCAUCAGAGAAAGGAUUCGAAACUCAUUUUGGUUUUUAAUUUGAGUUCAGAUUAUUACUUAUUGGAUUCAUCUAUUGGUUGCUAGAGUUGGUUGGAGUUCUUCGUUGGUUAAUCUUUGGUUGAUAUUCACAGGUUCUUGCUACUGACUCUGGAGAGGGUUCUAGUUUCUUUAUCUUGUUCGUGGCACUGCCAAAUUCUGCAAGUGUAUCAAAAUUAAAGAUUCCAUCGCCAUUGUAUUGAGAUUUAUCGUCGACUUUCGAUUCCACCGCCAUUGUAUAUUCGCAUCAAUUUUUGAGAUAUAUGAUCAGCAGAUGGAGAGCUUUAUGCGGCUAGAGAAUGGGAAAGUCUAGACUCCACAUGGUUACCAUUGUCUGCUUGAGCUGUGGACGGUGUGCUAGUAAAUUUCCUCCAACAUUUAUUGUGGUGUUUCUAUCCGAACUUCUUUUUUUGGGGAUUUAUAUGAUGGAAGAUAACCAUGAACGGGAAGAACAUUUUGGAAGUUGGUUAUUGCAUGUAUGGAAGUUAUUUCACACUUUGGUAAGCCUUAGUUGUUAUGUUAAUAGUUUCACCCUUAACCUUUCCCUUGGUGAUGAUUAUAAUGGAAUAAUGGUUCUUCUGAAGUGAUAUUUUUUGUCUCUAUUAGCUACCAACAUGUGCCAUCAUUGGUGUCAUGACAAGUUUGAGAUAUAUGAUCGUGGGAUUAUGUGGUUUCCACAGAAAAUUCGUGAUGAUUUUAUUCCUUGAUGGUUUGAUGAUGUUGUUGUGUCUUUUGAAAAGGUUGAAUUUAGUUGUUUUCUGAUUGAUUAGUUGGUUUAUUUAUGUAUUAUGUCAUCUUGAGCACAACAUUGGUAUUGUUGCUUCAUUCACUAACCGGCAAUCAUGCUAUUUGACUUUUUUUAGUUGAAUUGUUCGUCCUCUAAUGUACCAAGUCACCUUUAGCACAACUUGAGUAUUGUUUCUUCACUUUGUAGCUAUUAGACCUUCUGACAUUCACUUAUUGUGCUUAUAUCUUUGAUGUUUUGUACUCUUGAUGGGUAAGCUUUGUGCCUUUUGUUGGCUUUUUUGUUGUGCUUCUACCUUAUGGUGGUUAAGCUUUGGUUCUUCUAUUAAGUGGAUAAGCCUUGAGUUGUGGUUUCUACCUAAUGGUUAAGCUUUUGCCUUUACGGUUUUGUCCUUGGUCGAUGUAUUUUUGGCUUCACUUGAAUUUCUUUCAAUUUGAUGUAUUAUCCAUUUCAAGUUGGAAGUGUUGUGAACAGCUUCCAACUUAUAGGGGACUAUUAGAAAUAUAAGUUAUUAACCUAGUGAGAUAGUAGUAUAUAUACUUGUAACCUCCUCAUUAGAAGGAUACUUUCACUCAUUUGUAAUAUAUUAUUUCGAAGCUUUUCUCUCCUCCCUUCCAUGGAUGUCAUGUCUCUUAACAAAGUGAGAGAUGGGAGAGUCAAAAAUUGUUGAAAGAAGCCAUGUACAUAGUAGUGCAUCUUGCUCUUCCCACACGACAUACCUAGGGUUCUCAGUUCUAGAUUCACGGCCAGCAAUAGUGAGAAAUCGCUCAGGGAUCUGAGUCGUGACAACAAACUUAACCAAUUUUAUGUCGCGAAGGAAACCUUCAACUUGUUGCUUUCAUUGAUGAUAAUUGGAUUCGUCUAGUUUCACGGUGAUUUUA